rnacentral:tRNA from 1 species
GCACUAGUAGCUCAGCAGACAGACCUC